rnacentral:lncRNA from 1 species
UGGUGGUGUCCCGGUGCCUUUAGGGGCCAGAGUCCCCGUGCUGCUCACUCUCAAGCGAGCAGCUCCGUGAGGAGGUAGCAGCUUCCCUGGGUGCCUGUAGCUUUGUCUCCGUGAGUGGGUACAGAGAUGGCGGAGGAGCAGGACCAGAAGGCCCACUCCCAAGCUGAUAAAAGACUGCCGAGUGUGCGGGAACAGCGCCAGGUGGGUCGCAGGCCGCAGCAAGCUGUGCUGCCAGGCAGACAGAGUCAGGAUUUGUCUGUUCGUGGGAACCAUCUUCCACAGGUGCCCCACCCGGUGAGAGCACAAGCCUCUGGGAGCCGCCGUGCACAGGCGGACAGACCACAAGGGAGACAGUCUCUGCCAGCCUUGCCACCUCUCCCACGGCGGGUGGUGUCACUGCCAGCUGCGCCCCAGAACGCAGCCACUGCUCGGGGACGAGUUCCCACAUUCUAUUCACUGCCAGCAAUAGCCUCCAGGAGUUUUCCAAGAGGCAGAGCUGCCAGUGCUGUUGGAGCUACCAGCAGCAGAGUGGCUGCCCCUGGUCUUCAGGGCAACCCUCAGCACCAGGACAUGGCAGUGAGGGCCGAGGGCUGGCAGGCAGAUCUGUGUGGCCCUGCACUCCCACUCAAGCCUGCAGAGAGGACACCCAAGUCCCUCAGGUUGGCAUACUGGGUGCGUCUGGGAGCCACACGACCAGGAGCCUGCCUGAAGCAAGCACGGCCUGGGCGACGUGCACCCACCAGCACUGUGAGACCACCAGCAGGAACAACCCAGGUGCUGGCCCCCAAGGCUGGGAAAGGCCCUGAGGAUGAGACGCGACAUGCUGCCAGUGCUCAGGAGGACAGCGGAGAUGCUCACAGGGUCUCUACAUCACGCUCCCUGGCAGCAGAGCAGGCAGCAGAGAAGGAAGCAGAGCAGGCAGCAGAGCUGGCAGCAGACAAUGGUGCCAAAGGUGCUGGCACUUCUCAGGCCAUGCUGGAUGCCAAGAGCAGCAAAGAGAGGGCCCACUCAGCCAUGAGUGGGGGCAGCUUCCUGCCCUGCUGUCUUUGCUGUUCCACCUGCAGUGCUGUUCUGACAGAUCAGCAGGAAGAAAAGAAAGACAUCACUGAGAGAGACACUGUGGCAGUGGCAGGCAAGGAGCCUGUGAGCACAUCAUUGCCUGGGGCAGAGUCCCUGGCUCCAGUGUCUCCAGUGCCUGGAAAACUUCAGCACGAGAUGAGCAAGGCACAGGUGAACAAGCUAGAGAUCAGGGACACAUUCACCCACAGCAGCAUCUCAGGGGAGGAGAGACAGCCUUUGCCAACUUGUGGACCAUCCCUGUGUAUCCCUGCACCCCCUCUCAAGCCUGCACACGCCACACGCAAAUUCUACAACUUGGCAUACAAAAGGCAUCCCUUAGCCAGCAGACCAGGAACCUACCAGAAACCAGCAGGUCUAAGGCAGCGUGCACCCACCAGCACUGAGGAAACAUCAGCACAAGCAACGCAGUUGCUGGCCCCCCAGGUUGGGAGCAGCCUCACACGUCAGACACCACCUGCUCCCAGUGCUCAGGAGGACACCGGAGAUGCUGUCAAGGACCCUUCAUCACAUUCCCUGGUGUCAGAGUGGGCAGCAGAACAUGGUGCAAGAGCUGCUGGCACUCCUCAGGACAUGCUGGAUGACAAGGAUGAUGAAGAAAGGGCAUGGUCUGACAAGAGAGAGAACACGUCCUACUGUCUUUGCUGCUCUACCUGCAAUAAUCUGAUGGAUGAGGAUGAGUAGGAGAUGUCAGCCCUGUGGCAGAGGCUGCUAGAGGCCCGGUGAGCACACCAUCUGGGGAGGCGCAGUCCUGGCCUCCAGCUUCUGCCAUGUCUGCAGGUGCCAGGCAUGAGGGGCACUUUGUCCUUAGCUCCUCCUUGUCACCAGAGGAUGCUCUGUCUUUGGACACUGAACGCCAAGAAUGAAACACCCUGGUCACUCUGAUGCUGGAGGCAACAAGCUUCAUGGCCUCCUCUGCUCUCUGUUCUUGAGCUUACAUUCACUCAAGCCUCUGUCCUCCAGCUUCUAUCAGCUCAAGUCACUUGAGAGGCCUUUCUCAUGAUGUAGAAAAGCAGUUCUCGUGAUUCAAUACCCAUGCAGAUUUCCUGUUCUCCACAGCUGUUUAUCAUGUCAGGUACAACUUCUGCCAAGCAGCUCUUCCUUCUUCAUCACUGCAUCAUUUCAUCACCUUUACGUUUAGCGAGAUAAGAAGAAAGGGAUCUGUGCCUGAGGAGAAGCUUGGCUUUUCUGUUUGUGUACAAAUUGCUUCUCACCUAGCAUUUAGAAGACCAUUCAGUACAGGGAUUCCUAAUUUGGCUAAAUCUGGCUUUUUAAUCUGGAACUGAAAAAGCAGUACGUAUUCUCUACAGCAGAGAUAAUAUACUUUGCUUUCUCUGUUUUGAUUUCGGUUUCCAAAAGUACAAUAAAAGUAUUUAGUUUCAUUUUACUUUUUUCUGU